UUGUGACUAUGACCGGUUAUGGUGAUGGUGAUCACCUCUCCUGGUUGGCCAUCUCCUCUAUACUAGAAAUAGUUCAUGGUUCUUCACAAACUCAAGGUUUUACUACGUUGAAAAUGUUCACAACUAUUUCUUGGCAGUGUUGGAUCAAGUUCUUGUGGCUACAACAAUGGACGAGAAGAUUUUGUAGACUUUCUAAGAUAAAGGGAGGAUCUUUGUCCGAAUCUUCAAGUAUAUCGAUUUCAAGAAGGCGACAAGAUUUAGAAUCAUCUCCAACGACACUAGAAUUUUAUUUCCUAAUUAAUGUAAUGCCAAUGGCAUUUUGG
rnacentral:lncRNA from 1 species